rnacentral:rRNA from 1 species
GACGAACGCUGGCGGCGUGCUUAACACAUGCAAGUCGAACGGAAAGGCCCUGCUUUUGUGGGGUGCUCGAGUGGCGAACGGGUGAGUAACACGUGAGUAACCUGCCCUUGACUUUGGGAUAACUUCAGGAAACUGGGGCUAAUACCGGAUAGGAGCUCCUGCUGCAUGGUGGGGGUUGGAAAGUUUCGGCGGUUGGGGAUGGACUCGCGGCUUAUCAGCUUGUUGGUGGGGUAGUGGCUUACCAAGGCUUUGACGGGUAGCCGGCCUGGGAGGGUGACCGGCAACAGUGGGACUGAGAUAAGGCCCGGACUACUACGGGAAGGAGGAGUGGGGAAGAGUACACAAGGGGAGGAAGCAUGAUGCAGCAACGCAGCGUGCGGGAUGACGGCCUUCGGGUUGUAAACCGCUUUCGCCUGUGACGAAGCGUGAGUGACGGUAAUGGGUAAAGAAGCACCGGCUAACUACGUG